UCUCUGCCCUGAAGAGAGAUACAAAGAAUUCAUUUAUCUUCUCUGCAACAGGCUUGUCUUCCUUAAUUGCUCCUUUAACACCUUGAUCAUCCAAUAGCUCCACUGAUUGGUUGGCAGGCUUCCUGCUUCUGAUGUAUUUAAAAAUUUUGCAGUUAGUUUUUGUGUCUUUUGCUAGUUGCUCUUCAAGUUCUUUUUUGGUCUGCUUAAUUA